ensembl:lncRNA
GCAGACUUGUUCAUCUCUGUAUUUCCAGAAUCUAGUACAAAAAAAAUUUUUUUUCCUUAAAUGAAUAAUUAAAGGAAUGAAUGAAACAUUACCAGCCCCAGGAGUUCCCUUGUAGUGCAGCAGGUUAAAGAUCUGGUGUUGUCACUGUAGCAGCUUGGGUCACUCCUGUGGCACGGUUUCAACCCUUGACCCGGGAACUUCCAUAUGCCAUGGUGUGCAGUGAAAGAAAGGAAGGAAGAAAGGAAGAUUACCAGCCCUACUAACACCAAAGGUUCUUCUCCUAGGAUUUCUUUGACAGCUCAGAAUCAACUCCCUCCGGAACCAUCUGGUGUUGAUUUUCUGACCACACCUCCUAGAGGCUCCUCAGGGUCCACAGUCUAAGGUUCUUGCAGAUGUUUUAAUUACCUGGUAUUUCCUUUGUAUAUUUUAAUUUCCUUCGCGGGCAUUUAUUAAAAGCUAUUUCUAACUUACUUUAAUAACCUUUUCAUAAUUUUAAGAGUAACACAUGCCCAUUUGUAUACAGAAAAAUAUAAAGAAAAAAAUAUUGUGCCUGUAAGAGGUACUUUCCAAGGGCCAUCCUCUCCACUGUGAUAGCAGCGAUAUUUGUCUCAAGCACUGGAAACAGUGGCUCUCAUCCUGACAGAGUCAGUACCGUCUUUUGACAACAAGUAUUUUUAUAACUUCCCCUUUACUACACUGAAAUGAAUUUUAUAGGUAAUGAAUCUAUCUGCAUAUAUCAUUUCCAAAAAAAUUAAUAACCUUACUACAAAGUGUUAUGCACUGAAUGUUUAUGUUCCCCCCAAAUUCAUGUGUUGAAAUUCUUACCCCCAAAGUGAUGGCAUUAGGAGGUGGAGCCUUUGGGAUGUGCUUAGGUCAUAAGAGUGGCGCCCUCGUGGAUGGGAUUAGUGCCCUAAUAAAAGAGGCCCCAGAGCAUUCUCUCUCCCUCUACAAGUGAGGAUGCAAAGGGAAAAUGGCCAUCCACUCUCAUAAGAAUCUGAUCGCGCUGGUACCUUGAUCUUGGAUUUCAGGCCUCUAGAAUUGUGCGAGAAAGAAAUUUCUCUUGUUGAUAAGCCAACUGCCUGAACUAAGGCACAAAGUAGAAUUAAAAGGAAAAUAGUGUUCUCAUUGUGGCUCAGUGGGUUAAAAACCUGACUCAGUGUCCGUGAGGAUACCGGUUCAAUCCCUGGCCUUGCUUAGUGUGUUAAGGAUCUGGCGUUGCUGUGAGCUUCAGUGUAGGUUGCAGAUGUGGCUCCGGUCUGGUGUUGCUGAGGCUGUGGUGUAGGGCAGCUCCGAUUCAACCCCUAGCCUGGGAAUUUCCAUAUCCUGCAGAGUGGCUAUAAAAAGAGAAAAAAAAGGAAAAUAAUUUACAGUAAAACAGCAUGUUUUUUCAAUGGGUAAAUGCUCAGUAGGAUUACCUUAGAAGAAUGGGUAACAACCUUGCAGGUGCUAGAUGCCCCAAAUCACUGUGAUUUGGCAGUGCAGGCCCAUACAGGUCUAUUGCAGUGGAGAUGCAGAUUCUAUGACUGGUGCUAACAUUGCUAAUGUGAUUUUCCAAAACGGGGAACAAAUUCUUGGAAAAGUUCUAAACAAAAUAAAGUUCAGCGUUCCCUUGAUGUACUACACAGUAAUUGCUCCUUUGCUUCCCUGGAAAAUACAGUGCAUUUUUAAAAAUGCUUUGGGGAGUUCCCUGGUGGCCCAGCAGUUAAGGAUCCAGCAUUAUCACUGAUGUGGCACAGGUUUUUUCCCUGAUCCAGAAAAUUCCACAUGCUGUAAGUGUGGCCAAAAAGAAAAAAAAAAAAAAAAAAAAAGCUAAAAAAUUCUUUGGAUUUAUAGAUUAAAAAGAAUUAGGUUUUAUCUCCAUUUUGUUUUUUCUUUUUAUGGUCAGUCUGCAGCAUAUGGAAGCUAGAGGUCGAAUCAGAGCUACAGCUGCCAGCCUACACCACAACCACAGCAACAGCAAUACCAGAUCCUAGUCCUACCUGCGAUCUACACCACAGCUUGCGGCAAUGUCAGGUCCUUAACACACCGAUCGAGACCAGGGAUCAAACCUGCAUCCUCACAGACACUAUGUUGGGUUCUUGACCUGCUAAGCUACGAUGGGAGCUCCUAGCUCCGAUAUUUUAAACAGUUUCUUCACCCGUGUGAAUGUUCAAAAGUCAUGCAGGUCACAAGAAUGAGAGUUCCCCACAUUGUAGAUUGUUAACCAUCUCCCAUCUCUACGCACUCAAGGUCAUGGCCCUCCUCGAGUCAUCAAAACAAUCAAAAAUGCCCCCAUCCACAUUGCUCCAGUGCUCCAGCUGAGGAGCACGGAUCUAAGCAAACGCUGGGGCUCCUAUCCUCCUGUCUUGUGAUGAAAGGCCAGGGAAAUCCUACUCAGGGCCUUUGGCACAAGGUGUUUCUAUCUGAUAACAAGAAACACGGGUACGUAAACAGUACCUUUCUCUGCCUGUGGUUAUUUUAUGAGGAUAUGACGCCUGGGGACGAUGACCAUUUUGCUGUCAUCUGGAGAGUCACCCUGAGGACGAGGCCAGUGCUCUGAGCAGGCAGCAAAGAAAGGUGGGAAGAGGUGGGCUAUCUGACAACUUAGAAUGAGCCGCUGAAUCAGCCAACCUGGAACUGCCCGCCUCGCCUUUCCUCUUGAUGUGUUAAAUAAUUGUGCAAGGGUCGGGGUUUUCUGUUAUUACAGCCAAAUCUUCUUCCUGAUAAAAGCACUCCUGUUGUCCCUGGAGACCCCUCUCUGGGCUUCAUGCAGAGAACUGGCCUCCUUUCUUGGUUCUACCUUGAGGUGAGGUGGUUAAGGAAGUUUCUAGGUUCACAUUCAAGCUCCAUAAGUGUUGGCUAGUCCCUUCAUCUUGUGAUGUCUCAUUUCCUCAUCUGUAAAAUGGGAGCAAUAAUAGUUUUCUAACUCCGGGGAUGUUGUAAGGAUUAAGCCAAAUGAGUUUCUAUAAGGAAAGCACUUGGAACAUUGCCAGGCACAUCAUUUGUGCUGAAUCAAUGCUAUGAUUAGAGUCUUUUUAGGUUUUGGGUUAGAUUUCUUUUGGCUGCAAAUAACAGAAAUCCCAUUCAAAUUAAAUUAAGCAAGACAAGGAAAGUUACUGGCAGCCAAGGGCACCACGAUGGGUUACAGAAUUAGGAAGAGCUGCCAGGAUCCAGGCCUCGGGGAUCGCCUUGUGCUUCUAGACAAGCAGUUCUUAUCCGUGGCUGCCCAUACGAAUCAUCCAGAGGGCUUUUAAAAGGCCCAAGGCCCAGGCUGCAUCCCCAACCAAUCAAAUAAAAAUUUCUGGGGCUGGACCCAGACAGCAGUAGCUGUUAAAGAUGAGUCUGGUGUACAGUCCUGGCUGAGACCCCUGGCUUCUUGAGCCUCUGGCUUUGCUGCUCUCUGCUUGUUUCCUCCCACAGAAAGCUAUUCCUACCCUGGCUUCCAUGUCUAACCUCCUGUAGCAAAAAAAAAAAAAAAA